rnacentral:rRNA from 1 species
GCUGGCGGCGUGCCUAAUACAUGCAAGUCGAACGAACUCUGGUAUUGAUUGGUGCUUGCAUCAUGAUUUACAUUUGAGUGAGUGGCGAACUGGUGAGUAACACGUGGGAAACCUGCCCAGAAGCGGGGGAUAACACCUGGAAACAGAUGCUAAUACCGCAUAACAACUUGGACCGCAUGGUCCGAGUUUGAAAGAUGGCUUCGGCUAUCACUUUUGGAUGGUCCCGCGGCGUAUUAGCUAGAUGGUGGGGUAACGGCUCACCAUGGCAAUGAUACGUAGCCGACCUGAGAGGGUAAUCGGCCACAUUGGGACUGAGACACGGCCCA